rnacentral:rRNA from 1 species
UACGAAGGGGGCUAGCGUUGUUCGGAUUUACUGGGCGUAAAGGGCGCGUAGGCGGCGUGGUAAGUCACUUGUGAAAUCUCUGAGCUUAACUCAGAACGGCCAAGUGAUACUGCUGUGCUAGAGUGCAGAAGGGGCAAUCGGAAUUCUUGGUGUAGCGGUGAAAUGCGUAGAUAUCAAGAGGAACACCUGAGGUGAAGACGGGUUGCUGGGCUGACACUGACGCUGAGGCGCGAAAGCCAGGGGAGCAAACGGG